AAAAAACCUAUUUAAUUUACCACACCCACAAGAGGAGACAAGUCGUAACAAGGUAAGCAUACUGGAAAGUGUGCUUGGAUAACAAGAUGUAGCUUAAACAAAGCAUCUGGCCUACACCCAGAAGAUUUCAUAUCAAACUGACCAUCUUGAGCCAAAGCUAGCCCAAACAUCCACAAACCCAACUAACACUAGAAAAUAAAACAAAACAUUUAGUUACUUCAAAAAGUAUAGGAGAUAGAAAUUUAACUUGGCGCUAUAGAGAUAGUACCGCAAGGGAAAGAUGAAAGACAAAAUUAAAAGCACUACACAGCAAAGAUUACCCCUUGUACCUUUUGCAUAAUGAGUUAGCUAGAACUAGCCUAGCAAAGAGAACUUCAGCUAGGCCCCCCGAAACCAGACGAGCUACCCACGAACAAUCUAUUACAGGAUGAACUCGUCUAUGUUGCAAAAUAGUGAGAAGAUUUGUAGGUAGAGGUGAAAAGCCUAACGAGCCUGGUGAUAGCUGGUUGCCCAGAAUAGAAUCUUAGUUCAACUUUAAACUUACCUCAAAAACCCAUAAUUCCAAUGUAAGUUUAAAAUAUAGUCUAAAAAGGUACAGCUUUUUAGAAUUAGGAUACAGCCUUUAUUAGAGAGUAAGCAUUAACCACAAACCAUAGUUGGCUUAAGAGCAGCCAUCAAUUAAGAAAGCGUUCAAGCUCAACAAUCGGAACAUCUUAAUGUCAAAAAACACAACCAACUCCUAAUUUAAAACUGGGCUAAUCUAUUUAACAAUAGAAGCAAUAAUGCUAAUAUGAGUAACAAGAAAUAUUUCUCCCUGCAUAAGCUUAUAUCAGAACGGAUAACCACUGAUAGUUAACAACAAGAUAUGUACAACCCAACUAUAAACAAAAUAUCAAACUAAUUGUUAACCCAACACAGGCAUGCAAACUUAGGGAAAGAUUAAAAGAAGUAAAAGGAACUCGGCAAACACAAGCCCCGCCUGUUUACCAAAAACAUCACCUCUAGCAUUUCUAGUAUUAGAGGCACUGCCUGCCCAGUGACACUAGUUAAACGGCCGCGGUAUCCUGACCGUGCAAAGGUAGCAUAAUCAUUUGUUCUCUAAAUAAGGACUUGUAUGAAUGGCCACACGAGGGCUUUACUGUCUCUUACUUCCAAUCCGUGAAAUUGACCUUCCCGUGAAGAGGCGGGAAUAUAACAAUAAGACGAGAAGACCCUAUGGAGCUUUAAUUAACCGACCCAAAGAGACCCCAUUUAUCCAACCGACAGGAACAACAAACCUCUACUAUGGGUCGACAAUUUAGGUUGGGGUGACCUCGGAGAAUAAAAUAACCUCCGAGUGAUUUAAAUCAAGACUAACCAGUCAAAAGUAUUACAUCACUUAUUGAUCCAAAAACUUGAUCAACGGAACAAGUUACCCUAGGGAUAACAGCGCAAUCCUAUUUCAGAGUCCAUAUCGACAAUAGGGUUUACGACCUCGAUGUUGGAUCAGGACAUCCCGAUGGUGCAGCAGCUAUCAAAGGUUCGUUUGUUCAACGAUUAAAGUCCUACGUGAUCUGAGUUCAGACCGGAGUAAUCCAGGUCGGUUUCUAUCUAUUAAACAAUUUCUCCCAGUACGAAAGGACAAGAGAAAUAAGGCCCACUUUACCAAAGCGCCUUUAACCUAAUAGAUGAUAUAAUCUUAAUCUAGACAGUUUACCUAAUUUUAUCUACCCGAGAGCUCGGGUUUGUUAGGGUGGCAGAGCCCGGUAACUGCAUAAAACUUAAGCUUUUACAAUCAGAGGUUCAACUCCUCUCCCUAACAACAUGUUCAUAAUUAACAUCCUCUCACUAAUCAUCCCUAUCCUUCUCGCUGUAGCCUUCCUAACCCUAGUCGAACGAAAAGUACUGGGCUACAUACAACUCCGUAAAGGACCAAAUGUCGUAGGGCCAUAUGGCCUACUCCAACCUAUUGCAGACGCCAUAAAACUAUUCACCAAAGAACCCCUACGACCCCUCACAUCCUCCAUACUCAUAUUCAUUAUAGCACCAAUCCUAGCUCUCACACUAGCCCUAACCAUAUGAAUCCCACUACCCAUACCAUACCCGCUCAUUAACAUAAACCUAGGAGUACUAUUUAUACUAGCCAUGUCAAGCCUAGCUGUCUAUUCCAUUCUAUGGUCAGGGUGAGCCUCAAACUCAAAAUACGCCCUAAUUGGAGCCCUACGAGCCGUGGCCCAAACGAUCUCAUAUGAAGUUACAUUAGCCAUCAUCCUCCUAUCAGUACUA
rnacentral:lncRNA from 1 species